AACGAACGCUGGCGGCAUGCCUAACACAUGCAAGUCGAACGAGACCUUCGGGUCUAGUGGCGCACGGGUGCGUAACGCGUGGGAACCUGCCCUUAGGUUCGGCAUAACUCCCCGAAAGGGGUGCUAAUACCGGAUAAUGUCUUCUGACCAAUGAUUUAUCGCCUUUGGAUGUGCCCGCGUUGGAUUCGCUUGUUGGUAGGGUAAAAGCCUACCACGGCGACGAUCCAUAGCUGGUCUGAGAGGAUGAUCAGCCACACUGGGACUGAGACACGGCCCAGACUCCUACGGGAGGGAGCAGUGGGGAAUAGUGGAAAAUGGGCGAAAGCCUGAUCCAGCAAUGACGCGUGAGUGAUGAAGGCAGUAGGGUUGUAAAGCGCUUUUAACCGGGAUGAUAAUGACAGUACCGGGAGAAUAAGCUCCGGCUAACUACGUG
rnacentral:rRNA from 1 species